rnacentral:rRNA from 1 species
GGACAAUCUACCUUAAGGAGGAGAAUAACCUCGGGAAACUGAGGGUAAAUCUCCAUAGGCGACAAGCACUGGAAUGUCUGUCGUCAAAACAAGAUAAACUGUAUUCGUUUCAUUGCCUUAAGAUGAGUCUGCGGCGGAUUAGCUUGACGGUAGGGUAACGGCCUACCGUGGCGACGAUCCGUACCGGCCUUGGGAGAGGGAGCCGGGAGAUGGACACUGAGACAAGGGUCCAGGCUCUACGGAGUGCAGCAGUCGCGAAACCUUCGCAAUGCGCGUAAGCGUGACGAGGGGACCCCAAGUGCGCAUGUACAGCAUGCGCUUUUCUGGAGUGUAAAUAGCUUCAGGAAUAAGGGCUGGGUAAGACUGGUGCCAGCCUCCGCGGUAACACCAGCAGCUCAAGUGGUGAUCACGUUUACUGGGUUUGAAGCGUGCGUAGUCGGUUUAGCAAGUUUUCUGUGAAAUCCUGCGGCUUAACUGUAGGGAUUGCAGAAAAUACUACUAGGCUCGAGACCGGGUGAGGAGUGGGGUAUUUCAGGGGUAGCGGUGAAAUGUUAUAAUCCCUGGAGGACCACC